UGCCCGGCCCCUCCGCUGGGACUCUGCUCUCCAUCUCACCCUUCCUUAGAUCUGGGUGAGGCCUGUACACUGCUCUGUGCCCGGAAUCUCCUGGAAGGAGGCCUGUUUCCACUAAGGUGGACCUGGGCGGAAUUAUGAUGGAGUCACGCUAUAGGCACUGCCCGUGGAAUCCAGCACCUGGACCAGCCCUGGGCUAGACCCUUGGCGGGUGUGAGCCCAGAGUGCAACUGGGUGUCAGGAACUAACCGGUGGUCACAGGAAGAGGGAGUUGGCAGUCCGGCUGGCUGCGUGCAGAAGCCUUGGGAACCCAGCGCAGGCUGGUGUGACAUUAACCAGGUCGCCGUGACCAGUGAAGGGAGCCAGAAGCAGUUUCCACGUCGCAGACUGAAAUGAAACCUCUUUAGAGAUAAAAGAAAUCUCGGCUACCGGGACUCUGGGGAUUCAUCGUGUUCCAGAACCUUCACUGUCAUUUAACAUAAAACAUAAAGGUUAACGCUGAAUAAAAUAAUAU